GUGGGGAAUUUUGCGCAAUGGGGGAAACCCUGACGCAGCAACGCCGCGUGAGUGAUGAAGGCCCUUGGGUCGUAAAGCUCUGACAGAGGGAAAGAAAUGUGGGUGGCUAAUAUCCAUUCCACUUGACGGUACCCUCAAAGGAAGCACCGGCUAACUCCGUGCCAGCAGCCGCGGUAAUACGGAGGGUGCGAGCGUUGUUCGGAUUUAUUGGGCGUAAAGCGCGUGUAGGCGGUUUUAUAAGUCUGAUGUGAAAGCCCCGGGCUCAACCUGGGAAGUGCAUUGGAUACUGUAAGACUUGAAUACGGGAGAGGGCAGUGGAAUUCCUGGUGUAGGAGUGAAAUCCGUAGAUAUCAGGAGGAACACCGGUGGCGAAGGCGGCUGCCUGGACCGAUAUUGACGCUGAGACGCGAAAGCGUGGGUAGCAAACAGGAUUAGAAACCCCGGUAGUCC
rnacentral:rRNA from 1 species